rnacentral:lncRNA from 7 species
GGGCCAAGGCAGGGCACUGCACUGCACGCAUGCACUGACCUGACGACGACGGCGAGGACGAUGGUGGGGAGUGGUCGCCGACGCCGAGGCUCGCGAGGGGCCACCGUUUCUAGCUAGCUAUGCUAUGCUAGCCAUAGCCAGCGGGGACUGGUUUCUAGCGCGCAGCAGGGAGCUACGUACGUGUCUUUUAUUUUGUGACGCUGAUCCAUCGGUCAGCCUGUGCUGAUUGACGCGACCGCUACCUAGCUAGCUUCGUUCGUGGUGUGUCCUCUCGUGACCCACGAGAGUGGAGUAGAAUAAUCAUGCAUUGUUGUAUGCAACGUGCUUAGCAGCUUCGUGGUUCGUGCGUGUGCCCUCUCGUGACACACGCGUUGAGUAAAAAUAACGUGGAUGGAUCAGCCUACUGCUCCUAGCCAGGCUGCUAGCUAGCUAGCAGCUGGGAGUAGCUGCGUGCCCUUGCUGAUCUCGUGUCUCUGUCAGACCUGUUGUAAAAUCUAGUUGUACUGUGUUAUAAAUUGUAAUCUAGUUGUACUGUG